rnacentral:tRNA from 1 species
CGGCGUGUAGCUCAGCAGUCAGAGCGGCGGGCUCAGGACCCGCAGGGCGCAGGGGCAGCACCUGCCACGCCGG